GUGAUAAGAGCGACUCAGACUAGCCAAGGAGACUGCCUAUGAACCAGUUCAAGGCUCAUUUUCUGAAUGAUCCUCUACACAAGGACACAGGCAAGUCAUCCUUGGCUACCAGAGCUACACCCUUAUCA
rfam:Oryza glaberrima chromosome 8 Oglab08_unplaced138_32, whole genome shotgun sequence.